rnacentral:misc_RNA from 1 species
GAUGAAGAACGUAGCGAAAUGCGAUACGUAAUGUGAAUUGCAGAAUUCAGUGAAUCAUCGAGUCUUUGAACGCACAUUGCGCCCCCUGGUAUUCCGGGGAGCAUGCCUGUCCGAGCGUCAUUGCUGCCCUCAAGCACGGCUUGUGUGUUGGGCCUCCGUCCUCCUCCCGGGGGACGGGCCCGAAAGGCAGCGGCGGCACCGCGUCCGGUCCUCGAGCGUAUGGGGCUUCGUCACCCGCUCUUGUAGGCCCGGCCGGCGCUUGCCGACACAUCAAUCUUUUUUCCAGGUUGACCUCGGAUCAGGUAGGGAUACCCGCUGAACUUAAGCAUAUCAAUAAGCGGAGGA